UGGUUUUCUAUCCCUGCUACUGCUUUUGGCAUAUUAGCACUGAGCAAGUGUUAUUGGCUCGUUGUCAGUCGCUGACUACCGCUGCUAUCCGACGACAAUAUAAGCACGCAGUUAAAAUAUUUGGGCUCAUAAAUUUCAGCGUCGAGACACUUUGGCGUGUUGGUCUACAGACGGCAAUUUAUUUUUUGUUGUUGUUCCCAAUUAUUUUUAUAUUGUUAACGUCAACUUUAACAUCACACGCAUCAUCCUAAGAAUUAACCUAUCAUCGAUUUGAUUUUAUGGCAAUUUCCUUUAACUUUUUUAAAUUAUUAAAAUGCUUGGGCGCCUGAUUUUUAUAACUAUCCAUAUCAUGUUGUGUGUGUUUUGAUUGUGGUUAUAUUUCCUGUAGCCUAUUAUUAAUUUCCAUUAUGUUUUUACUAGUUUUUUUGGGAGAAUUUGUGUUCUGAAAUGAAUGAGGAUUUUGGCAAGUUUGCAGGACGACUUUAACGAGGAGACGGAAUUUCAAGAAGAUUUCAAACGUAUUCCAGAAAUCCGCGAGGAGCUAUCGCAGUCAUUUCGAACACAGGAAUCAAACAAAAAGACUAACUAACUGGAAGAUUCCAAUAGGAUCAAAAGGACAUACGCUGUCAUCUUUCAAUAUUCAAAGGAUUGUAUUUACUAUGCUCAUACAACGAACAUAAAUAUUGACCAUACAUUUAGGUGCCCUGCUUCGGAUCGUGGAGAGAGUAGCCCAAUAAAUAUAUCGUUUUUAUUUUUUAUUUUCUUCUGAUUUUGUUAUUAACCGGAUCUACCCUGGACGUGAACGCGCAAGAAUUGAGUUUGUAUGUGAUUUCUUAAGAAAUAUCUUCUCGCCUGGGUCGUAAGAAGCGCAUCGAUUCUGUUGCGGCACACUAUGGACGAGCAAGCCAGGAUGAUGCAGUCUCUCUCCGGCGUGAACCUGGCCGGCCUUUCGGCGCAUGGAGGCUUGGUUAUACCGCCUGCGCACAUGCACGACGGGACUGACGCGGACGGGAGAAAACAAGAUAUUGGGGAUAUUCUACAUCAGAUAAUGACUAUUACAGACCAAAGUCUGGAUGAGGCUCAAGCAAAGAAACAUGGACUGAACUGCCAUCGCAUGAAACCGGCCCUUUUCAGUGUUCUCUGUGAUAUCAAGGAGAAAACAGGCCUCAGCAUGCGCGGCGCCCAGGAGGAGGACCCGCCCGACCCCCAGCUGAUGCGACUGGACAACAUGCUGCUGGCCGAGGGCGUGUCCGGCCCGGAGAAAGGGGGCGGGGCUGCGGCGGUUGCCGCGGCAGCUGCCGCCGCCUCCGGAGGCGUGGCGGACAACACCGUGGAGCACUCGGAAUACCGCGCCAAACUCAGCCAGAUCCGCCGCAUCUACCACACCGAGCUGGAGAAGUACGAGCAGGCCUGUAACGAGUUCACCACGCACGUGAUGAACCUGCUGAGGGAGCAGAGCCGCACCCGGCCCAUCUCGCCCAAGGAGAUCGAGCGCAUGGUGGGCAUCAUCCACCGCAAGUUCAGCUCCAUCCAGAUGCAGCUCAAACAGAGCACCUGUGAGGCCGUCAUGAUCCUGCGCUCACGCUUCCUUGAUGCCAGGCGGAAAAGGCGAAACUUCAGCAAGCAGGCGACAGAGAUUCUGAACGAGUAUUUCUACUCCCACCUGUCGAACCCUUACCCCAGCGAGGAAGCCAAAGAGGAGCUGGCCAAGAAAUGCAGCAUCACCAUAUCCCAGGGGGCGAGAAGCACCUUCACUGUGUCACAGGUCUCAAACUGGUUUGGCAACAAGAGGAUCCGGUACAAGAAGAACAUCGGAAAGUUCCAGGAGGAAGCCAACCUCUACGCUGCCAAAACGGCGGUCACCGCGGCUCACGCGGUGGCUGCAGCGGUGCAGAACAGCCAGACCAGCUCCCCGGCCACGCCCAACUCCGGGUUCCACAUGAAGGAUGAGGACUUUCAGCUGGAUUCCUCAGACAGCAAAAGCACCCUCUUAUCCAGCAUGUUCACAGGUGCAUACCCCACAGCCUGCUUUCAGCCAGAUGGCAGGAUACAGUGACAACCUGCAGAGGGCGCUCUACUGUGCCACCAACACAGCCUGAAUUUAUCCAAUGUGAUCCUAUAAAUGGAGAGGCCUACAAGGGGUUUACCUAUAACAUAUACACUGGAGGGCUAGUGGGGGCCUGGCAAGGCACAGCCAAUCAGAUGCUGCGGAAGGAAGCGUGAGCACCAAUACCUCAGCACUUCUUCUUCCCUGUGGCAUCCUAUCCCCAAGCAGUAGGGCUCUAACUAGCACUAACUGACCAAUCAGGGAGGCCAAAUCUUUAGCAUCAUAUCCCCUCUGACUCUUGAACCUCAACCAUGUCCGGUAGAGCAUAUCCGCCACUCUUUGGACCCUGCUGUUUCUGGAACUUUCCGCGGAGGGACCUCAUUCAACCUCCCGUCGCCGUUUUCCCCGAACUCUGCAUAUUUUUUCAGAAAGUCAUUUUUUAUAUAUGUAUCUAAACAGAUAUAAAUGUGUACAUCUAUAUAUUGCUAUAUGAAACUGUCAGGACUGGCUCUGAAUUUCAUUUUGAAGGUGUCAUUUGUGUAGAUGAUUUGAUGAAAAUCUGUGACAAAGAAUAAUAUCCAUAGCAAAGACGCUGGCCCUGAAACACUUGUCCUUCCUUUGGGUUUACACUUUGUGGUGUCAGCCUUUUUUGAAAAAAAAAACAAAAAAACAAAACAAAACAAAAAUAAUAAUAAUCUAAAAUGAUGGUCCUGGAGAGCCUAAAGGCCUGCUGGUCUUUGUUGUUAUUUAGCACUCAACUAAUUAAUUCAUGCAGCUGAUUACAUAGUUUGACUCAGCUUACUUAUUUUCUUGGAUCUUAUUGUUUUCUGAAUUUAAGAUGAGAACAAAAUCCAGCAGACCCUGCUCAAUGGUACCUUGACUGGGAAUCCAUUCUUUAAAUCAUAUAUUAGAUGUGCACUGUAGUUUCUGCUAUUUUACACCUGGUUUGAUUGUUACAUAUGGCUAGUUCAGUUACGUAAGUGGUUUUACAAGUUGGUUUUACAAGUUAGGCGACUACAAUAUUACAUUUAAUGGCAACUUGGAUAAACAUUUCUAAACGUUUUAUAUAUGACUUGUAGUCACUGGUUUGCAAUAUGUCAGACACGAUUUUUGACCUUGAGACAUGCUUCUGGAGUCAACUUAUAUUUUACAUAAAAUUAUCUUUUUACUUUACGUUUCAGUUUGGUAUAUUGUUGUUAAAUGCCCUUAACCCAUUCUUUAAAAUAGUAGUUGCAGUGUUAAAAAGGAUUACAGUAAAAAGUACUGAUUGCACUUCAUCCUCUCGGUGACUAAAGAUACAGUUCUCACUUGAAUAUUGUAUACACUCACGUAGCACUUUAUUAGGUAGACCUGUACCCCAGCUUGGCAAUGCAAAUAUUUAAUCAGCCAAUCAUGUGGCAGCAACUAAAUGCAUAAAAGCAUGCAGACGUGGUCAAGUGUUUCAGCUGUUUUUCAGACCAAAUGUCAGAAUGGGGAAGAAAUGUGAUCUAAGGGAUUUUGACCAAGGAAUGACUGGUGCCUGACAGGAUGGUUUAAAUAUCUCAGAAAUGGAUGAUCUCCUGGAAUUAUCACUCACAAGCAGUCUUUGGAGUUUGCAGACAAUGGUGCGAAAAACAAAAAACAUCCAGUGAGCAGCAGUUCUGUCAAAAACGACUUGUUAAUGAGAGAGGUCAGUGUAGAAGGGCCAGACUGGUCAAAGGUGACAGGAAGGUGACAGUAACGCAAAUAACGCACAUAUUACAACAAUAGUAUGCAAAAGAGCAUCUCUGAACACACAACGCGUCAAACCUCUAAGUGGAUAGACUACAGCAGCUGAAGACCAAUACAUCUAAAAAAGAAAUCUAAUAAAUACCCAAUAAAGUGCUCAGUGAGUGUAUAAUGCAGUUUAAGAGUAAACAUGCCACCAAUCAAAACACUGCUUUAUUACCUCAUUCAGUCAUAUUAUGAGCCAAUAGAAUUUUAACAUGGUCUAUAGCCUAGAGUGCUCACUUUUUCUAGCUACCUCUAAACAAUAUCACUACUUGUGUAUCAAUUUUUUUUAACUUUUAUUUAGCUUUACUUUUUGGCAUCUUGUAAGCUUUUCUGUCUAUAGUGUAUAUUUUAAUCAUUUUUAAUAACAACAGUUGCAUUGUUGCAAUUUUAAAAACAAAGUUGAAAAGGGAGGACUGUAUUUACAGUAAGUACAGUGGAGGGAGAGGAGGAUAUUGGUCAUAAAACAGCAAACAGUAAAAACUGUUGUAAAUAUCAAUGAAUGUUUGCCGAAUUUGUUCUAAUCCUUAAAAAGAUGGUGAUAGUCAGUUUCAGUAUUUGGAACUGUAUAUUUCAGCCCCUGUCUGACAGGGGGAGAGAUUUCGUCUAUCUUUUUUUGUAUUGUAUGCCAUUCUUAAAUUUAUUAAGUCCUGAGAAGAUGAUUUGUGAAAGUGAUUCUAAUGUAUUAAAAACUGUCUUUAAGUUUGUUUCUAAGCAGACUACACCUUGGACUGAGAAGUCUUCCUUGUGGUACGUUAGCUAUGUGUAGUCUCUGACCUGAAUAAACCUUUUUGCUUUCA